rnacentral:rRNA from 1 species
CAGCGGGGGAGCAGCGUUGUUCGGAAUCACUGGCGUAAAGGGCGUGUAGGCGGUUCGGUAAGUGGAAUGUGAAAUGCUCCGGCUCACCCGGAGUACUGCAUCCAAACUGCCGAGCGUGAGUAUGGGAGAGGGUGAGGGAAUUCCUGGUGUAGCGGUGAAAUGCGUAGAUAUCAGGAGGAACACCGGUGGCGAAGGCGCUCAUCUGGCCAAUACUGACGUGGAGGCGCGAAAGCUAGGGGAGCAAACGGG